rnacentral:rRNA from 1 species
UAAAAGAAAUCACUUUUAGUAGCGCCUGCUCAAUGAUAUUUCAAUAGCCGCAGCCCCCUGUGCUAAGGUAGCAUAAUCAUUUGCCUAAUAAUUAUAGGAUAGAAUGAAAGGUAGUCCAUGUUUUCUUCUUUAUAAAAAAGGCUAUUCAAACUUAAAAUUUUAGUAAAAAUACUAAAAUAAUUAGGGGGACGACAAGACCCUGUCGAACUUUACUUUUACGUUUAGCUGGGGCGGCAAAAAAUUACACCUUUUUCCCUCACCAACCUAACGUCCCCAAAAAUGGGAGAAAACAAGUUACCGCAGGGAUAACAGCAUAAUUCUUUCCCAGAGACCUUAUCCAAGAAACAGAUUGUGACCUCGAUGUUGAAUUAAAAUUCUUUUGAAAGCAAAAUUUCAAAAAGAGGGUCUGUUCGACCCUUAAAAAUUU